UCAUCAUGAAAGAGACCGUGGAUGCCGAAG
rnacentral:piRNA from 1 species